rnacentral:rRNA from 1 species
UAGAGGAAGUAAAAGUCGUAACAAGGUCUCCGUAGGUGAACCUGCGGAGGGAUCAUUACAGAGUUCUCGCCCCUCCGGGUAGAUCUCCCACCCACUGUGAUUGAUACUAUGUUGCUUUGGCGGGCCGCUAGGCUCCUGCCCGGCCGCUGGCUAACGCUGGCGCGCGCCCGCCAGAGGCCCGUAAACUCUGAAUGUUAGUGUCGUCUGAGUACUAUAUACAAUAGUUAAAACUUUCAACAACGGAUCUCUUGGUUCUGGCAUCGAUGAAGAACGCAGCGAAAUGCGAUAAGUAAUGCGAAUUGCAGAAUUCAGUGAGUCAUCGAAUCUUUGAACGCACAUUGCGCCCUGUGGUAUUCCGCAGGGCAUGCCUGUUCGAGCGUCAUUUCAACCCUCAAGCGCUGCUUGGUGUUGGGCCCUGCCGUUUACGGCCGGCCCUAAAAACAGUGGCGGUGCCGUCUGGCUCUAAGCGUAGUACAUCUCUCGCUCUAGGGCCCGGCGGUAGCCUGCCAGAACCUAAACUCUGUGGUUGACCUCGGAUCAGGUAGGGAUACCCGCUGAACUUAAGCAUAUCAAU